CAGUCGCCACGGGAAUACGAAGGGGGCUAGCGUUGUUCGGAAUUACUGGGCGUAAAGCGCACGUAGGCGGAUACUUAAGUCAGGGGUGAAAUCCCGGGGCUCAACCUGGGAACUGCUUCUGAGACUGAACGACUAGAGUACGGUAGAGGGUGGUGGAAUUUCCGGUGUAGCGGUGAAAUGCGUAGAUAUCGGAAGGAACAUCAAUGGCGAAGGCAGCCACCUGGGCCUGUACUGACACUGAGACACGAAAGCGUGGGGAUCAAACAGGAUUAGAUACCCCAGUAGUCCCUGUCUCUUAUAC
rnacentral:rRNA from 1 species